rnacentral:rRNA from 1 species
AAUCAACGCUGGCGGCGUGCCUAACACAUGCAAGUCGAACGCGAAAAGGGCUUCGGUCCUGAGUAGAGUGGCCGUCCGGGUGAGUAACGCGUGGGUUAUCUACCGUUGGGUGGGGAAUAACUAGUCGAAAGAUUAGCUAAUACCGCAUUAAUGCAGUUUCUUAGUGGAAUCCUGUUAAAGCAGUAAUGUGCCUAAUGAUGAGCCUGCGUCUGAUUAGCUUGUUGGUAAGGUAAUGGCUUACCAAGGCUUCUAUCAGUAGCUGGUCUGACGAGGACGGCCAGCCACAAUGGCACUGAAACACGGGCCAUACUCUACGGGAGGC